UCAUUUGACAGGAGCUGGCGGCUGACUGCUGAAUUACCGAUAUUUGUCAGCCAAACCAUCCCCUGGCAUUUUUUUUGUUGUUAUUCUUGAUUUAUUUAUUAGAAAGUGGACGUUCGGAUCGUUAUAAGUGAAGUUAUAAACAGCGAGUUAUAUCAGUGCCCACGAUAUAUAUUCGCAAUUGCGUAAACCCAGUAGGUAUAAUACUAUGGCGAUAUGGAAUGUACGAAAGAUUCUCAUAUUAGGCAUAAUAUGUCUCUGUUUGAUGAAGAAUGAACACAGAAGACCAAGAGAGGAAUACCAAUACCGCUAGUAUUAUACAUUCUAGCAGCACUUCGAUUCUAUGAAACGGGAUGUUAUCAGACUGUAAAUGCAGUCCAUCAAGCGUUCUAUGAAAUAACAGAAAUGCCAAAAGUCAAGCUGUAUUGAUGUCACGCAUAGGUAUACAUAUAAACAACCCCGGAGGACCCUAUACACAGAUUUAAAGAAACCGGCUAUCAUGGCAGGGAAUAGCAGUGAUGAGCUCUGAGAAUACUGUUUUACCAAGAAUACUGAGAAUACUUUGGUCCUUGAAAAUCUGAGUUUUCAGAUCACAGUAAUUGGAAGACCCUCCUUGAAAAGUCAGCAGCAUUUAAUAUUGAAGUAGUAGGAGUGAGUGCAGUGUAUUGUAAGGUGGUCACUCACUCUGAAGUCCAUAACAAUAGAAAAUAUAUACAAAUCUUAAUGAUGGAAAAUAAAAAUUUAUUGAUUCAAAUCUUUAAUAAAGAUAAUUAUUAAAUGUUUACUUCUGCAUUUUUCAUUUAAGUCUGGCCCUAUAAAAAUAUACAAUAAUAACAAUAAGUUAUAUGUAAAUUAUGUAUUUAUUGUUGUUAUUAAUUAAACUUUGUAUCAAAAGGAUAUAGGUUUGCUUUUAGAAUUGCAAUAAGUCUGUGUGGUUCAUUAUUAUCAGCCCAUUACCAGGCCAAGCUUACCUACUAAAUACAUAUAUAAUAUUAUGUGAUCUAAAGCUUUGUGAAAUGCAAUUUUACCACUAUUCCUAAGGAUAAGCUACACUUAUAUUUAUUUACUGCACUUACUAUAAAUUGUAAAAAAAUACAGCAUAAUAGUACCUACUUGUAAUUAUUUCAGGUAAUUAUAGGUGGUUUUGAGUAAAAUAAACAAAUUUCCUCUGACAA